rnacentral:rRNA from 1 species
GCAGUCGAACGCUUCUUUUUCCACCGGAGCUUGCUCCACCGGAAAAAGAGGAGUGGCGAACGGGUGAGUAACACGUGGGUAACCUGCCCAUCAGAAGGGGAUAACACUUGGAAACAGGUGCUAAUACCGUAUAACAAUCGAAACCGCAUGGUUUUGAUUUGAAAGGCGCUUUCGGGUGUCGCUGAUGGAUGGACCCGCGGUGCAUUAGCUAGUUGGUGAGGUAACGGCUCACCAAGGCGACGAUGCAUAGCCGACCUGAGAGGGUGAUCGGCCACAUUGGGACUGAGACACGGCCCAAACUCCUACGGGAGGCAGCAGUAGGGAAUCUUCGGCAAUGGACGAAAGUCUGACCGAGCAACGCCGCGUGAGUGAAGAAGGUUUUCGGAUCGUAAAACUCUGUUGUUAGAGAAGAACAAGGAUGAGAGUAACUGUUCAUCCCUUGACGGUAUCUAACCAGAAAGCCACGGCUAACUACGUGCCAGCAGCCGCGGUAAUACGUAGGUGGCAAGCGUUGUCCGGAUUUAUUGGGCGUAAAGCGAGCGCAGGCGGUUUCUUAAGUCUGAUGUGAAAGCCCCCGGCUCAACCGGGGAGGGUCAUUGGAAACUGGGAGACUUGAGUGCAGAAGAGGAGAGUGGAAUUCCAUGUGUAGCGGUGAAAUGCGUAGAUAUAUGGAGGAACACCAGUGGCGAA